rnacentral:rRNA from 1 species
CUGCCCGUGCACCGGGAAUACGCUCUGGAAACGGAGAACAAAUCCCGAUGUACAGGAAGGAGGCAUCUUCUUUCUGUGAAACAUCCUUUAGGGGAUGGGGCGCGGAUGGACCUGCGGUGCAUUAGUUGGUUGGCGGGGUAAAGGCCCACCAAGACGAUGAUGCAUAGCCGGCCUGAGAGGGCGGACGGCCACAUUGGGACUGAGACACGGCCCAGACUCCUGCGGGAGGCAGCAGUAGGGAAUUUUCGUCAAUGGGCGCAAGCCUGAACGAGCGAUGCCGCGUGAGUGAAGAAGGCCUUCGGGUCGUAAAGCUCUGUUGCGGGGGAAAAAAGGCAGCAUCAGGAAAUGGGUGCUGACUGAUGGUGCCCCGCCAGAAAGUCACGGCUAACUACGUGCCAGCAGCCGCGGUAAUACGUAGGUGGCGAGCGUUAUCCGGAAUGAUUGGGCGUAAAGGGUGCGCAGGCGGUCCUGCAAGUCUGGAGUGAAACGCAUGAGCUCAACUCAUGCAUGGCUUUGGAAACUGGAGGACUGGAGAGCAGGAGAGGGCGGUGGAACUCCAUGUGUAGCGGUAAAAUGCGUAGAUAUAUGGAAGAACACCAGUGGCGAAGGCGGCCGCCUGGCCUGUUGCUGACGCUGAGGCACGAAAGCGUGGGGAGCAAAUAGGAUUAGAUACCCUAGUAGUCCACGCCGUAAACGAUGAGGACCAAGUGUUGGGG